rnacentral:rRNA from 1 species
CGCAAGCGUUGUCCGGAAUUAUUGGGCGUAGAGAGCUCGUAGGCGGUUUGUCGCGUCUGCUGUGAAAGCCCGGGGCUUAACCCCGUGGUGUGCAGUGGGUACGGGCAGACUAGAGUGCAGUGGGGGAGACUGGAAUUCCUGGUGUAGCGGUGAAAUGCGCAGAUAUCAGGAGGAACACCGAUGGCGAAGGCAGGUCUCUGGGCUGUUACUGACGCUGAGGAGCGAAAGCAUGGGGAGCGAACAGGAUUAGAUACCCUGGUAGUCCAUGCCGUAAACGUUGGGCACUAGGUGUGGGGGACAUUCCACGUUUUCCGCGCCGUAGCUAACGCAUUAAGUGCCCCGCCUGGGGAGUACGGCCGCAAGGCUAAAACUCAAAGGAAUUGACGGGGGCCCGCACAAGCGGCGGAGCAUGCGGAUUAAUUCGAUGCAACGCGAAGAACCUUACCAAGGCUUGACAUACACCAGACCGGCCCAGAGAUGGGUUUUCCUCUUUGAGGUUGGUGUACAGGUGGUGCAUGGUUGUCGUCAGCUCGUGUCGUGAGAUGUUGGGUUAAGUCCCGCAACGAGCGCAACCGUCGUUCUAUGUUGCCAGCACGUGAUUG